UCCAGAUUUGUCGACUUGUCAUUUUCUACUAAUAUCUAGCAACGUCAGAUUCACUGAACUGUUGACCACUAUGAUAAGUAGUUGUGGACCAACAGUUAAAGUAGGAAACUAUUUAGUUCUUCUAAUGAACCUUAUCUGUCCAUCAAGAUUUUUUUUGUUGAUGAAUGUCACUUGCUGCCUUCAAAGACAUGGCUAGCAUUUUUGAAGUUCCUUGAAGAACCACCACCACGAUUUGUCUCCAUAUUGUUAAUACUGAUCUUGACAAUGUGUCGUGUGCUGUAUUAUCUCGGUGUCAGAAGUAUCUCUUCAAUAAAAUUAGGGAUGGUGAUAUUGUGCUCAGAUUAAAGAAGAUUUCUUUCGAUAACGAUUUGGAUGUGUAAUCAGAAGCAUUAGAUUUGAUUGUUCUUAAUGCAGAUGGAUCACACUGGUAUGUGGAAACUAUGUUUGACCAGCUGAGUUUGUUGGGGCAACGAAUCACUACUUCUUUGGUAAAUUAUCUGGUGAGUCUGAUGUGUAUGUUUACACCUUUCCGUACUAAUUUCUGCCUUUUCUUCUCCAUGCUUGGCAUGAAACCAAACAAUUUUUUUUUAUAUCUGAUUGGUAUGGUUACAGAAGAGAAGCUACUGGAACUUUUGGAGCUAGCCAUGUUAUCUGAUACUGCAGAAACAGUAAAAAGAGCUCGGAAAUUAUUGGAUUUAGGCGUUGAUCCAAUAAUUUUGAUGUCUCAAUUGGCUACACUCAUCAUGGAUAUAAUUGCAGAGACUCAUCCAAUAUAAUUGUAUCCUGAAAUAUGUGAAUGUCCCUUGAAUCAGUUCUAAGUCUGGCCAAACCGUCAGCUACUUCAUUGGCUUCCCAGUAGCAAGAAUGACCUUUUUGUUGGACUUCUCCAUCACACGAAUAAUGGAUUAGAUAACAUCUCUCAGCUUGUUAUUUCUUGUGUCUCAUUUCUCUAACAUUUGAAAAACCAAAACGAGAGUCUAGCUCAAUGAUAAACUGAUUAAAACAAUUAUCCAUAAAUCAUUAUAUUAGAGACUAAAUAUUACCACAUUAGCCUUAUCUGCGUUGUUACUGCUAUGGUUAGUAGGCUUAGAGAAACCAAGUAUGAGCCUCCUAGUGAAGUCCCUUAUCAGCUCCCCUUUGCCAGCCUUUUCAUUGUCCACAGAAAACCUCCAACUGAAACUAUUUUAACCGAUACCUGAACAGGAGGCUUUCAAGUUGACCAUAAUAUGUGAAAACCUGAAAUGAUAUUCCCAAUGCUUUUUCCUUACUAUGUUUAUCUCUUGCUGAAUGUGAGUCAUACAAAAGUUGAUGACUCAAUUUUCAUAUCCAUAGUUGAGAUAUUAUUUCACUGAUAUUUGACAUUCAAACGAUGUUUUCUCAUGAAACAGAAGGGGAUUAGGAUGUCGCUGGACAGAAACCUCAAAGUGUGCCAGAUUCUAUUUCUGAUUCUAUAGUUGUUGUAGCAGAAGAUAAAUUAUUGUUAGAAGUGAUGAAUGAAAACCUUUUGAUUGCUAUAUAAGGGAUCCGAAAGAUCAAUGGUAGUUGGGUGAAAUGAAUGAUGAAAUGGUGGAUGGAUGACUGGAGAGUUCUUUUAUGAUGUUGAGUAAUAAGCCAAAUUAUUUCCUGUUGUUGGUUUCGUGCAAGAAACAAUGACAUACAAGAAUUGAGAUGCGAUAUAGUGUUGAGGUACAUUUGUUUCCUUGAUUUUCUGGCUAUAUAUAAAGAGGGUUUUAUUUAUCAUACCAGAAUGUGAAUUUCCGUAUCUUAUGUUUUUAACAUUGGGUGUUAGCAAUAUACAAUUACAGUAUUUUUAAUUAUUCUACCAGAAAGUGAAAUCCUGUACCUUAAGUUUGUAACAUUAUGUUCUGUUACUUACACACUUUGGAGUUUCUUUCUUUAAAUUCACAUGUUGUGUCUGUUAUGUUUGAAGUUCCAUUGACGUUUGACAUUGGAUAUGAACUUGCCCAUGUCGAAUAUGGGCGCUUGGCGCAUGCCCCUGCUGAUGCUGGUUGUGGGCUAUGGAAGCGUUGGUUGCGUCAUUGUCGUUGUCAGCUAUGGGCACUUGCCCUUGCCCAUGUUAUUACGCCCUUUUAAUCUAUAUUUGAAGGUCAAAUCAUUCAUAGGUGCUCAGUUAAGAUUGUUUCCUGUGUUGAAUGUUUUAGAACAAUAUGUUUACGUUAACUAAUAUACCUUUUUGGGGUAAAA